rnacentral:rRNA from 1 species
CCAGACUCCUACGGGAGGCAGCAGUGGGGGAUAUUGCACAAUGGAGGAAACUCUGAUGCAGCGACGCCGCGUGAGGGAAGACGGUCUUCGGAUUGUAAACCUCUGUCUUUGGGGAAGAAAAUGACGGUACCCAAAGAGGAAGCUCCGGCUAACUACGUGCCAGCAGCCGCGGUAAUACGGAGGGUGCAAGCGUUGUCCGGAAUCAUUGGGCGUAAAGAGUUCGUAGGCGGCAUGUAAAGUCAGGUGUUAAAGGCGCAGGCUCAACCUGUGUAUGGCACUUGAUACUUGCAAGCUGGAAUGCGGUAGAGGUAAAGGGAAUUCCUGGUGUAGCGGUGAAAUGCUUAGAUAUCAGGAGGAACAUCGGUGGCGUAAGCGCUUUACUGGGCCGUAAUUGACGCUGAGGAACGAAAGCCAGGGUAGCAAAUGGGAUUAGAUACCCCUGUAA